AGGCAACAUCAUUGCACUGGAUAAUGAUGGUUCCGACCCUCAGAAUCUUUCACAAUCUGGAAGCGAGAGUGGAUUUCUUCUUCCAUUUUACGCCUCUCCAAACAAUAACAGGACCCUCGGGGGUCCUGUCCAGCAGCCAGGACAGUAAAUCCAAUAGUGGACAGUGACAACAAGGCUCAAGAGAGAAUCUUCCUACCGCACUUUCCUUAACAAGGAACGUCCCAUGUCAGCUGUGUAGUCCUUGGGGACCACAGGUAAUAAAGAAUAGUCAUGGCAGGGGCUUCCCUGGUGGCCCAAUGGUUAAGAAUCCAUCUUGCAAUGCAGGGGACGCCGGUUCGAUCCCUGGUCUGGGAACUAGGAUCCCACAUGCCGCGGGGCAACUUAGUCCAUGUGCCACAUCUAGAGAGCCCACAUGCUGUAACUACAGAGCCCACGUGCUCUGGAGAGUGCAUGCUACAACUAGAGAAGCUCUGCCACUGCAAUGAAAGAUCCCGCUUGCCGCAACUAAGACCCAACGCAGCCAAUAAUUAAUUAAUUAAUUAAUUAAUUAAAAAAACCCCAACUCCAUGGCAAAACUAAAGAGACAAUAAAAGAACAGUGGUUAUCAGGGGUUUGGAGAGAGAGAGAGAUGAAUAGACAGAGCACAGAGGAGUUUUAGGGUAGUGAAAAUACUCUGUAUGAUACUAUCAUGGUGGACACACGUCAUUAUACUUUUGUUCAAACCCACAGAAUGUACAACACCAAGAGUGAAGCCUAAGGUAAAGGAUGGACUCUGGGUGAUUAUGAUGUAUCAAUGUAGGUUCAUCAUUUGUAACAACUGCAUCACUCUGGUGGGGGAAUGUUGCUAAUGGGGAGGCCAUGCAUGUGUGAGGACAGGAAGUAUAUGGGAAAUCUCUGUACCUCCAUCUCAAUUUUGCUGUGAACUUUAAAUUGCUUUUAGAAAGACAUGGAAGUCUUAAUGUUUUAAAAGAGGGGGAAAAGGAGGGGAAAGAAAUACAGUAGAGCAAUUUUGAAAAGAAAAAAAAACCCACCAACAACAGCUUAGCACUUUCAAAACAUACCCCCAUCCAUCAUCACACUUAAUGCUCACGUUAACCUUGCAGGGUAGGUGUGAUUUCCACCCCCAUCUUACAGAGAAGGUAACAAGCUCUGAGAGGGUAAGUUAAACAAGGUCACUUGGUUCCUAAGUGGUAGCUAAAUUCUUUUCACAAUAUCAAAGACAAUUGUCUUUAACGUGCAAUUGUCAUCAAUUAUAAUUCAAGAAAGCUGAAUGUAAUUGUCUUAGUAGCACAAGUAGAGAGACACAGUAUAAAUUUCUUUUAACUGUUAAUAAUCAACUUGCCUUUGUAUGUUUAAGGCAAAGUGACUGAAAUUUAAGAAGUAUUUGUCCUUUUAUUUUUUUAAGCACCCUGUAUUUUAAAGCUUAUUAUUCUGUUUUAUUCAUUUAAAUGUUAAAGGUUUGAAAAAUUGAAAAGCAUACCUAUCAGUGUAUAAAAUAAGGAUUUAUUUCGGAAACCUAAGAAUGAGCAUUAGGAAUUUUAUCAACAUAAUUUAUUCCAUUAAUAAAUUAAGGGGAAAAUAUAGGACUGUACCAAUAUAUGACAAAAGAGUAAUUGAUAUAAUUCAGUAAGCAUUCAUGAUGAAAUCUCUAAGUAAAAUAACGAUUGAAAAUUUUAAAACAAGAUAGAAUAUUUACUGGAAGCUAACAAUGAAAUACUAAAGAAAUUUCUGUUAAAAUCAGAAAUAAGAUAGAGCUGUCCAUAUUGCCGCUAUUCUUCAGAAUGUGUUUUGGAGGCAGCUAAAAUUUGUGGGGGCGUGGCCAGAGAAAGGGGUAGCUACACAGAGCUGGGGCCCAAGAAAACUGGAUGGCCACUCCCUCAGAUCCUGGGCCAAGAACUGAGAAGCACAUGUACAAAGCCUGACUCUGUGAGUUCUGCUGCUGGGAAGCUGAGAGCUGAACAGAGAUAUUAGCGAGCACACAGAGUUUGGAGAAUCUGGGAUUGUGGCCCAGCCAGAGUGGACAGUCCUCACUGAAAACAUCAGGCAUCCAACUGAGACCCUAGAAAAGCCAUAUCUUAGUGAAAUUUAUGUCCUAGAAUAAAAGCCAUUCCCUAGGACUUAGGGCAAAAAUAGUAAUAGACUAUUCUAAGAAACCUUAAAACAAAGUCUGACUAGAUCAAGAUCUACCAAUUAUGUCACUAUUCAAUACCACCAAAACAAAACUUAUCACCCUUUAAAGGGAGACAACAUAAUCACUUCUCCCUAUAAUGUAUCAUCUACAAUGUCUAGCAUGCAAUAAAAAAUUAUUAAACCUGCAAAGAAUCAAGGAGAAAAAAUAGAAACAGACCUUGAAAGACCCAGAUGUUAGGAUUAGUACAUGAGGAUUUUAAAACACCUAUUAUAAAUAUCCUUAAGGAUAUGAAAUAAAGCAUGAAUAACUAUGAUGUAAGAGAUGGGGAAUCUUAGUCAAUAUAUAAAAGCAAUAAAAAAGAGCCAAUGGAUAUUAAGCUGAAAAAUAUAAAAUCUUAAAUAAAAGAUGGCCUGGAUAAGCAAUUUACUAUUAAGUAAAUUGGACACUACAGAAGAAAGCAUCAGUGACCUUGAAGACAGCUCAAUAGAAAUUUUCCAAAUUGCUGAACAUGAAAAAAAAAUUUUUGAAAUAAAAGCAAAGCCUCAGUGACUUGUGGGACAAUAUAAAAUGAUCUAACACAGUGUUAAGUGGUGAUGAAGAAGGAGAGGCGAGAGAAUAGAAAAAAAUAUUUAAGCAAUAGUAUCUGAGAAUUUUCCAAAUUUGAUGAAAAACAUUAAGAAAAUUAUACCUCAGCAUAUCACAAAGUACUAAAAAUCAAAGAUAAAUUAUAAAGCAUUCAGAGGAAAAGAAAAACACUGUGUGUCAGGGGACAAAGAUAAGAAUUAUGAAUGACUACUACUCACAGAAAACAAUGAAGGUCAGAAAACAAUCUAAUGGUAUGUAUAAAACACAGAGAGAAAACUGUCAACCUAGAAUUCCACAGCCAGUGAAAAUAUCCUUCAAUAAAUGAGGUUAAAAAAAAUUUUUUUUGGAUAAAAGAAAGCUAAGAGAAUUCAUAACAAGCAGAUCCUCACUUCAAAAAAUUCUUAAAGGAAGUUCUUCAGACUGAAGAGAAAUGACAACAGAUGGAAACUCAGUUAUACAGAGAGAGGUCACUACCACCACUCUUAGUAAAUACGUGGGUACAUUUUGAAAAACGUGCUUUCUUAUGUUUUAAAUUUCUUUAAAACAAAAUUGAUCAUUUAAAUUAACUAUAAUAACAUUUUGUUGUGGAUUUUUAUAACGUAAACAGAAGCAAAAUAUAUGACAAGUCAUGAAGAAUGGAGUGGCAGCACAUGGAGUGAUACUACUGCAAGGUUCUCAUGUUUUACAUGAAGUGGUAGUGGACUAUGACAAAUUAAGAAUGCAUAAUAAAAUCCCUAGAGCAACAGUUUAAAAAAAAAAUACAAAGAGGAAUACCUAAAAAGUCAAUAGACGUUCAACAAAUGUUGCGUCACAAUUGGGUAUUCAUAUGCAAAAGUUAACUUCUGUCCAUACAAAAAUUAACUCAAAGUGGGUCACAGAUCUAAAUAUAAAACCCAAACUCUAAAAUGUAUAGAAGAAUACAUAGGAGAAAACCUCUGUGACCCUGGGUAAGGCAAAGAUUUCUUAGAUACAACAACAAAAGCAAGAUCCCUAAAAAGACAAAUUGAUAAAUUAGACAUAAUCAGAAAUAGAAACGUCUGCCAUUUACGAGAAGAUCAUGAAGAAGAUGAAAAGACCAGCUACAAACUGGGAGAAAUAUUUGCAAACGAUGUCCGAUAAAAGAUUUGUAUCCAGAAAAUAUAAAGAACUCUCAAAAUUCAAUAACAAGAAAAUAACCCAAUUUUUAAAAAUGGUCAAAAGAUUUGAACACAUGCUUCGCAAAAGAAAAUAAGCAAAUUUUAAAAAAAUGUUCAACCUUCAUCAUUAGGGAAAUGCACAUUAAAACCACAAUGAGGGCUUCCCUGGUGGUGCAGUAGUUGAGAGUCCGCUUGCCAUUGCAGGGGACACGGGUUCGUGCCCCGGUCCGGGAGGAUCCCGCAUGGUGCGGAGCGGCUGGGCCCGUGAGCCAUGGCCGCUGAGCCUGCGCGUCCGGAGCCUGCGCUCUGCAACGGGAGAGGCCACAACAGUGAGAGGCCUGCGUACCAAAAAAAAAAAAACCACAACGAGAUGCCACAAAUGUCUAUUAGAAUGGCUAAAAUUAUAAUGACCAUAUCAGUGUUGGUGAAGAUGUAGAGUAAAUGAAACAUUCCUACACUGAUGAUGGCAAUAUAAAAUGAUGCAACCACGGGAAAACAGUUUGACAGUUUUUUAAACAUAUACCUGUUGUAGGAUUUAGCCAUUCUACUACCAGAUAUUAACCCAAGAACAAAGAAAGCGUGUGUCAAUACAAAGACUUGCACACAAAUGUUCAUAGAAAUUCUAUUUGUAAUGGCCCAAAACAACACAAUCCGAAUGUUCAUCAGUAGAUGAAUGGAUAAACAAAUGGAAUACUUCUCAGUAAUAGAAAGUAACGAACUAUUGAUAUACUCAGGUAUAAGGAUGAACCAAAAUUCAUUAUGCUGAUGAAAGAAGCCAGACAAAAACGAGUAUAUAGAGUAUGAUUCCAUUUGUAUGCAAUUCUAAAAAACGCAAACUAAUCUACAGUGACAGCAUAUCUGUAGUUACUGCCUGGGGUUAAAAGAAAACAGGGAGGAGAAGAGAUGGGGAGAAAGAUUAUAAAAGGAGCACUGAGGAAAUUUCAGGAGUGAUGGACACGUUUAUCAUCUUGGUUAUGGUUAUGGUUUUGCAGGUGUAUACAUAUGACAAAACAUAAAAUUGUACACUUUAAAUAUGUAUAGUUUAUUGUAUGUCAAAUAUGCCUUAAUAAAGCUGUUUUUUAAAAAGCCAAUAGAGGAAAUAGAAUACUAAAAAAUAUUUUAUUAACUCCAGAGAAAGUAGGAAAGGAGAAAUAAAAAUUAAACAUUUCCACUAAUCAAAAUGUACCAUUAAGAAAAUACAAAGGGAAGUCACAAGAGAAAAAUUAUGUAUAUAUAAAUAGAUAAGUAGAUAGAUAUACAUAUCUCAAGGGGCUUGAAUGCAAAAUACAUAAAAUCCACUACAAAUAACAUUUUAAAAAAGAAAAACUUAUUUUCAGGGCUUCCCUGGUGGCGCAGUGGUUGAGAGCCCGCCUGCUGAUGCAGGGGACACGGGUUCGUGCCCCGGUCCGGGAGGAUCCCACAUGCCGCGGAGCGGCUGGGCCCGUGAGCCAUGGCCGCUGAGCCUGUGCGUCCGGAGCCUGUGCUCCGCAACGGGAAAGGCCACAACAGUGAGAAGCCCGCAUACCACCAAAAAAAAAAAAAAAAGAAAAGAAAAA